rnacentral:tRNA from 1 species
GGACUCUAUAGUAUAAAAAUAACAUUAAAUUGCAAGUUUAAAGAUGUGUAAGUCACUAGGGUUUAGAAGAUAGAAUUU